AUUAUGUUAUGAUAUAACAUAAAAUAACUUUGCAUGUAAGACAUUUUCAUGCUAUGUUGCGUUUAAUUUGUUGCCAUUAUUUGUGCAGUUGAGUAUUAUCCUUACCAACACUUACACAUCAGGAUGUGGCACUUAAUUUAGGUUUCUGCCGCUAAAACAGCCACAGACUUAUUGACUUGCACAAAAAAACAACUGUCACAAAAUACUUUUUUACAAAUUUUUCAUAGAAUUCUUAGAUAUUAAUAAUGAUUUAAAUAAUAAUGUUUUUUUUCUAUUGUUUUUCAGCUUCAGCAUUUCUUUGCCUGGUGAUUUCAGUGGGUGCGCAGAGGAGUCACAGACUGACCUGCUAUCUGAAUGUUUUAACACACCACACACAUGAGGGGCCGUGCUCUCACAUCAUCCUCCCCUUGACCUCCACUGAUGGCGACCUUUACCUCCAAAGCCUGUCGGAUGAUGACAGCGUUACUCUUAAAAGCAUGAAGGAGAGAAAUCCAGCUUUGACGAUUUUGCUUGGUUCGGAAGUCAGAUCAUCAAGGUUGGAGCUGAUGUCUGCUAAUGAAUCGAGCAUUGAGAAUUUUGUUCAAACAGUAUUGACAUGCUUAAAAGACAAGAGUUUAGACGGCCUAGACGUGUCCUGGCUGGAUGGCCCUACUUCUGAUGAAUCUAGCAGAAACACAGAGCUACUCACAAAUUUUCUGAAGGCAAGGACUAUUAUUUUCAAGCAGAACACUUUUAAUUGAGUUACGCUUUAAUAACAACAAAUUGUAUUUUAAUACAAGCUUCAAUUUUUGUCUGAAGAGACUAAAAGGCGCAUUUAAAAAAGAAACACAGCCUCUACUUCUGUCAGUGUCUGUACUAGGGCCUGUUGACAGUGAUGAUGAGCAGACACUUU